UGAGAGAUUAUGGCAUUGUCCUCUUGCUGGGUGAAGAGAAUUCUCUAAAGGUUCUAAUUAACAGAGGUUUGAUGUACUUUGAGAGAAAAGAUUUUCAAAAUGCCAAAGAAGAUUUCACACAAGCCGUUAAGAUGGAACCAAGAAAUGUGACAAUAAGGC